rnacentral:tRNA from 1 species
AGAGAUAUAGGUCAAGGGUAGAGCAUGUGCUUAGCAUGCACGACGAAGUCUUGGGUUCAAUCCCCAGUACCUCCA